rnacentral:rRNA from 1 species
GUACACUCCUACGGGAGGCAGCAGUGGGGAAUAUUGCACAAUGGGCGCAAGCCUGAUGCAGCCAUGCCGCGUGUGUGAAGAAGGCCUUCGGGUUGUAAAGCACUUUCAGCGGGGAGGAAGGCGAUACGGUUAAUAACCGUGUUGAUUGACGUUACCCGCAGAAGAAGCACCGGCUAACUCCGUGCCAGCAGCCGCGGUAAUACGGAGGGUGCAAGCGUUAAUCGGAAUUACUGGGCGUAAAGCGCACGCAGGCGGUCUGUCAAGUCGGAUGUGAAAUCCCCGGGCUCAACCUGGGAACUGCAUUCGAAACUGGCAGGCUUGAGUCUUGUAGAGGGGGGUAGAAUUCCAGGUGUAGCGGUGAAAUGCGUAGAGAUCUGGAGGAAUACCGGUGGCGAAGGCGGCCCCCUGGACAAAGACUGACGCUCAGGUGCGAAAGCGUGGGGAGCAAACAGGAUUAGAAACCCCGGUAGUCCCAUG